ACCAGCACCAGCUUAACAGGAAUGACAUGAUCUGGAUGCGACAGUGGCAGUUUUCCCUUAACAUCCCUGCCCCCUAAAGAUUUGAGAUCAAAUUUCACACUCUUAAGUAACAGCAAUUUGUCUUUCACGGUUUUAAUCAUAUUGACUAAAAGCAUUUGUCUUUUCCAGAACAUCACAUUAAGUCACCCAAAAAUAUAAAAAUUAAAAAGAUGUAAUUAUUGGCAAUAAAAAACAUAAAAGGUGAGCUUUCGAAAUAUCUUUGAGAAAUUUAUUCAUUAUGAACACAUGGAAUCUGUUGGAACAAAGUUCUAGGACAAUUCAGCCCAUCCUUCAAUAAUUGCAGAAAACAGCACAAAGAAAACUUGAUAUUUAUACUUAGUUGGAAAUUUUAUCCUACAGUCAUUAAAUACAGAGAUCAUAUAAAGGAAUAGAGGAAGAUGUUGAAAACUAAACUAACUCAAAUCAUCAAUAUUCUUACAAAGUGCACACUGAAUUAAUGUAAAAGUAUUUACCAAACAAAAAGUAUUUUCAAUACAUAAUUAAGACUGAAAAGUAUUGAGGCCUCAUAAACUGAACCUGAUACAACAAAUUUCAAAGGGAAACUAAUUUGGAAAUCAGAAAAUCAUCUAAGGAAUUUGAGAAUUAGGCUUCUGUUGCCCCCUCUGCUACUGACAGUCAGGGCCCCCUCAUUGUAUUCUGUCCUCCACAUCUCUGCUGAUUGCCGUUUUGUCUAUUUCCAUUUACCCCACUACUACUUGCUCAGGUCACUCUCCUUCAUUCUCAGUGUUUGUUCAAAUUCCUCACACCCAUCCACUUCCCAUCUAAAUUUCCCUCCCCUUUUGUCCCUCGCUGGCCCUACCUCCCUCUUCUCUUGUUUUCUCCUCACGAUCCUGCCCCACCUCGACAUCCACAGCGAUACAGUGAAGAAGCCCCUGCCAAGGAAGAGCCCACUUCUCAGUGGGGCACCGGGAAGUAACCAAGGAGCCUUUGAUUAGUAGUGAAAUUGUGGCACCCCAACAAUGGUGGAGUGGAAUAUCCUGCUACUCUGGAGGGGUGAUGGCUCAGGGUCAAGACUGAACUAAUUAGAAAAAGAAAUGCACUCCAGGAAUAUCAAGUCCAAAACGAAGCUCUUCAAACCAUCUGGGAAGAGAAAACAGCAUGACAAGGAAAGGUAUGUUUGUCUGAUCCCAGGAAUCAAUAUAAACAUCCAUGAUAACCCCACCUAUUUUUUAAAUAUAUGAUUUGGAUGAAACAAGGGAAAGAGACUGAUUGUUGCUGAGUCCCUGCUGCAGUCCCGACACAGCUGGAGAUGCCCUGCUCCCCUGCUCCCCUUCUCCCCGCUCCCCGCUCCCCGCUCCCCGCUCUCCCGCUCUCCUGCUCUCCUGCUCUCUUUAUUUUGUUGAUGCUCAUGAGGACCCUGAUGUCUGAGGAAGAAGGUUCCC
rnacentral:lncRNA from 1 species